GACGAACGCUGGCGGCGUGCUUAACACAUGCAAGUCGAACGGAAAGGCCCUGCUUUUGUGGGGUGCUCGAGUGGCGAACGGGUGAGUAACACGUGAGUAACCUGCCCUUGACUUUGGGAUAACUUCAGGAAACUGGGGCUAAUACCGGAUAGGAGCUCCUGCUGCAGGGUGGGGGUUGGAAAGUUUCGGCGGUUGGGGAUGGACUCGCGGCUUACCAGCUUGUUGGUGGGGUAGUGGCUUACCAAGGCUUUGACGGGUAGCCGGCCUGAGAGGGUGACCGGCCACAUUGGGACUGAGAUACGGCCCAGACUCCUACGGGAGGCAGCAGUGGGGAAUAUUGCACAAUGGGCGGAAGCCUGAUGCAGCAACGCCGCGUGCGGGAUGACGGCCUUCGGGUUGUAAACCGCUUUCGCCUGUGACGAAGCGUGAGUGACGGUAAUGGGUAAAGAAGCACCGGCUAACUACGUG
rnacentral:rRNA from 1 species